rnacentral:lncRNA from 1 species
GGCAGGAUCUGUCCUUGUUGCUCCAUGUGAAUACUUUUUCCUGUGGGUGUCUGUGUCUCCAUAUAUCAAUCAGGUUCAUUCUGUCGCAGAUAUUUUCCAAUUCGGUUAUCUGUUUGGCUUUUGGAGGCCAUCUGUCCAGACUACCAUCAAAUACUGUGUUGAAGUCUCCACCCCAUAAGAUCUCUGCUGAGGGAAACAGUGUCAGCCAAUAAUUAAUCUUAUUUUCCAAUGUUGAGAAAAUUAUGUUAUUGAGAGAUUUACUGUUUGACCCAUAUACAUUAAUCAGAAUAACAGACGAUUGGUUGAUAUCUGCCAAGAGAAUGAUCCACCUGCCAUCCUUAUCAGCGUCAUACUUUAUAAUUUUCCCACCAUAUUUCCCCUGUAGGAUGGCGACCCCCGCUGAGCGAUUGCUGCCAUGAGAGAGCCAUACAUUCCUUCCCCAUUGAUUCCUCCAAUAUGAGACAUCAGUUUCAGAAGAGUGGGUCUCUUGAAUGAAAUAAAAAUCUGCCCCUUUAUUCUGAAGAAAUAAGAACAAGCUUUUCCUUUUCACUUCAUUCUUAAUACCUCUGACAUUAACAGAAAAAAUAGAAGUCGUCGCACACAUAUACACACACACAGACACAUACACACACACACACACACACACACACACACACACACACACACACACAAGCACCUGCUCAAAAAAACCUCACUGGGUUGAGAGCAGACACUGAGGGUUGGCUACUGCAAGCAGACCAGACCACUUCCAAACUUAAUUGAGAUAGUUUAGUUUACCUCUCUUCAUUAGUGGUUCAUCACUCUAUAAAGGAUAUUGAGGAGAGAAAAGAAAAAAAAAGAGGGGGAUUGCCUCGAAGGAGUGAUCGAAAAAAAAAUUCCUACUUCGAUUCAUUAUUUCAAUUAUUUUAGCACGAGAGAGCUGUAAUAUAGGGAAAAAAUAAAUAAAUUGAUAAUAACUGAACUAAUGUAGUGGCUGUUGUUGAGAAAUAAACAAAGAAAAAAUAAUAGAUUAAAUUUCAAAUAAACAUUUUGUCAGCCAUAUCGUAGAAGAGGUUGGGAGCACCGAGUCAUAAGCAAAAGUCACCUUUGUCAGAGACAACUCAAACGAAAGUCUCACGGAUAUAUAACAACUUAAAUCUGUACCUUACAUGUCCUUUGCUGUAAUUCUUACACCGUCAACGUAUGCAUGCGCUCCUCUGAAGCCAGCUUUCUUCCCUUCUUUCCUCGCUUUCUCCACUUGCGGCCACAGCUGGUUUCUGGCCUCCUUGGCUUCUUGAGUGAGGUCCUCCAGGAUCUUUAGUUUUCUUGUUUGGGGAGUCUCCGAUGUCCUGGCGUCCUUCCAGAUUUUAUCUCGGUGUGAUCGUGACAGAAAGCGUACUAAGACGCGCCGGCUGGAGCGCUCGUGUCCGGAGCGAGGUCCCACUCUGUGCACGAUAUCCACCGUAAGAACCAGCUGAUCCGCGAUGUCAGGGGAGAUUUGGCCGAACAGGUCAAUGAUGAUUUUCUUAAUGUCCUCCCCGGUCCUCUCAGGUAUCCCGGCGACGCGCAGGUUCCACCGUCUCGAGUAGGCAUCCAUGUCGUUGAAUUUGCUCCGGAGCUCCAUGCUCGCUUUCCCCAGGGUUGAGGUUUCAGCUUGGAGGGUGGUCAUCUGGCCAGACAUGUCUUCCAUCCGCCCCCACAGAGCCUCCAGGGAGUCGGUGACGUUUUUCGUUGUUUUAGUGUUUUCUUUAACAGCAUCUUCCAAGGUUUCGAGCCGCUUAAGAGUCUCGAUUUGUCUCUUCUCAAUUCUCUCGAGGAUGCUUAACGACCUCUGGUCAGAGUCCUCCACCACAUCACUCUGCGGUUUUUUGCUUUUCUUUGAUUUUGGAACUUCAGGUACCUGUUCAGAAAUCGGUUCUUUUCCCGCAGCAAUAAGAUUGUCCAUGACCUCAAGUUGGUCAGUCAAACAGCUUCGUGCAUAAGAGUGCAUCGUAUUAAUAAGGUUUCUUUUGUCCAUUACCCUCCGUGUGAUGAAACUUGACUUACUCGGUGUCCCAGCGCGAGGCAGAAAAGUUUGUAACGCACGUGGAGGCGGCGUUCCUCCGCGGUUUGUCUUGCGGCUUCCUUCAAGUCUCUCCUUUCAAUGCCUGAGCAGGUUUAAUUAUGCCUCAGUGUCGAGGCUUUUUUGUUCCAGAGAGGUAAGUCUUUUAAGGUUCUUUUUAAGUUCUUCUGGUCAUACUGCAGUGCCA